rnacentral:rRNA from 1 species
AGAGUUUGAUCCUGGCUCAGGACGAACGCUGGCGGCGUGCCUAACACAUGCAAGUCGAGCGGAGACAGUGAGUAGCUUGCUAUGAGCUGUUUUAGCGGCGGACGGGUGAGUAACGCGUGAGCAACCUUUCCCAGACAGGGGAAUAACACACCGAAAGGUGUACUAAUACCGCAUAAGACCACGGGAUCACAUGGUUCUGAGGUAAAAGAUUUAUCGGUUUGGGGUGGGCUCGCGUCCGAUUAGGUAGUUGGUGAGGUAACGGCCCACCAAGCCGACGAUCGGUAGCCGACCUGAGAGGGUGAUCGGCCACAUUGGGACUGAGACACGGCCCAAACUCCUACGGGAGGCAGCAGUGGGGAAUAUUGCACAAUGGGGGAAACCCUGAUGCAGCGACGCCGCGUGAGCGAAGAAGUAUUUCGGUAUGUAAAGCUCUAUCAGCAGGGAAGAAAAUGACGGUACCUGACUAAGAAGCCCCGGCUAACUACGUGCCAGCAGCCGCGGUAAUACGUAGGGGGCAAGCGUUGUCCGGAAUAAUUGGGCGUAAAGGGCGCGUAGGCGGCUCGGUAAGUCUGGAGUGAAAGUCCUGCUUUUAAGGUGGGAAUUGCUUUGGAUACUGUCGGGCUUGAGUGCAGGAGAGGUUAGUGGAAUUCCCAGUGUAGCGGUGAAAUGCGUAGAGAUUGGGAGGAACACCAGUGGCGAAGGCGACUAACUGGACUGUAACUGACGCUGAGGCGCGAAAGUGUGGGGAGCAAACAGGAUUAGAUACCCUGGUAGUCCACACUGUAAACGAUGAAUGCUAGGUGUAGGGGGUAUCGACCCCUUCUGUGCCGCAGUCAACACAAUAAGCAUUCCGCCUGGGGAGUACGGCCGCAAGGUUGAAACUCAAAGGAAUUGACGGGGGCCCGCACAAGCAGCGGAGCAUGUGGUUUAAUUCGACGCAACGCGAAGAACCUUACCAGGUCUUGACAUCCACUUAAACUUACAGAGAUGUAAGGUGUGCUUGCACAAAGUGAGACAGGUGGUGCAUGGUUGUCGUCAGCUCGUGUCGUGAGAUGUUGGGUUAAGUCCCGCAACGAGCGCAACCCUUAUCUUCAGUUACUAACGCGUAGAGGUGAGGACUCUGAAGAGACUGCCGGGGACAACUCGGAGGAAGGUGGGGACGACGUCAAAUCAUCAUGCCCCUUAUGACCUGGGCUACACACGUGCUACAAUGGCCACGACAGAGAGAAGCGAAAUCGUAAGGUAGAGCGGAACUCAAAAAAGUGGUCCCAGUUCGGAUUGUGGGCUGCAACCCGCCCACAUGAAGUCGGAGUUGCUAGUAAUCGCGGAUCAGCAUGCCGCGGUGAAUACGUUCCCGGGCCUUGUACACACCGCCCGUCACACCAUGAGAGUCGGUAACACCCGAAGCCGGUGGCCUAACCGCAAGGAAGGAGCUGUCUAAGGUGGGACUGAUGAUUGGGGUGAAGUCGUAACAAGGUAUCCCUACGGGAACGUGGGGAUG